CCCUAACCUUAACCCUAACAUCCCUUCGCUUCUUCCUUCAUACUUUAUCAAUGUCGGUACCAUCAGACUCACAAGCGGUGAAAAAGGCUGUUAGCAUUCAGAUGGACGAAAUCGGUUGCCUCGAAAUCAAUAUUACCGUUACUGGAAAAGAAAUUGAGCUGAAGACAGAUGGAGGCACCCCGCAAGUAACCAACAUUAAGAAGAAUCUACAAAUAAUCAUCCGAGACCCCAAGGCAAAAUCCACGGAGCCCGAGAAAGACAGUAAAAAUUAAAUGCAAGAAGCGUAUCCAAAUGAUAUUGGAGAUAUGGAAAUAUUAUUGAAGACAUGAAGAUAUUUGACUUUUAUUGUAUAUAAAAUAAUGGUUAUUGUCUUCUAUGGUAUAUAAGACUAUUUUAUUUUUCUUUUAUUGUUUUUAUAUAUGAUACGAUUGUGUCUUUUAAAGAAUAUGCAAUGAAAAAUAUCUUCUUAAUGUCAUGAUAUUGGUGAGA